AGUGUAUUAUCGAAAGGACUGCAUUCCCUUCUUCGAGCCCAUGACUGGCAUCAGGAUUAUCAUAGUCAGCCUGUAGUGUACAAUCGAGGUGAGUGCCUGCCUUCCUCACUUGCGGCCCAUGACUGGCAUCAGGAAUUUAAUUGUCAGCCUGUAGUGUUAUCGAAAGGACUGCAUUUCCUUCUUCGAGCCCAUGACUGGC